rnacentral:rRNA from 1 species
GUCGUAACAAGGUUUCCGUAGGUGAACCUGCGGAAGGAUCAUUGUUGAAAACUGCCUAGCAGAACGACCCGUGAACCCGUGGCAGAACACGCGGGGGGCCGCGGGGGGCGCCCGGCCCUUCGCGUCCCCGGGGCCGUGGAGGGAUGCGCAUGCGCCCGACGCGGCUCGCCAACCAACCCCGGCGCGAGGAGCGCCAAGGAACUAGAGUACGAAGAGCGCGUCCCCGACGCCUCGGGCGCUCGGGGUGCGUCUUCAUUUCGUGAAAAGCUAA